rnacentral:rRNA from 1 species
AUACCGCAUACGUCCUACGGGAGAAAGCAGGGGACCUUCGGGCCUUGCGCUAUCAGAUGAGCCUAGGUCGGAUUAGCUAGUUGGUGAGGUAAUGGCUCACCAAGGCGACGAUCCGUAACUGGUCUGAGAGGAUGAUCAGUCACACUGGAACUGAGACACGGUCCAGACUCCUACGGGAGGCAGCAGUGGGGAAUAUUGGACAAUGGGCGAAAGCCUGAUCCAGCCAUGCCGCGUGUGUGAAGAAGGUCUUCGGAUUGUAAAGCACUUUAAGUUGGGAGGAAGGGUUGUAGAUUAAUACUCUGCAAUUUUGACGUUACCGACAGAAUAAGCACCGGCUAACUCUGUGCCAGCAGCCGCGGUAAUACAGAGGGUGCAAGCGUUAAUCGGAAUUACUGGGCGUAAAGCGCGCGUAGGUGGUUUGUUAAGUUGGAUGUGAAAUCCCCGGGCUCAACCUGGGAACUGCAUCCAAAACUGGCAAGCUAGAGUAUGGUAGAGGGUGGUGGAAUUUCCUGUGUAGCGGUGAAAUGCGUAGAUAUAGGAAGGAACACCAGUGGGCGAAAGCGACCACCUGGACUGAUACUGACACUGAG